GACGAACGCUGGCGGCGUGCUUAACACAUGCAAGUCGAACGGAAAGGCCCUUUCGGGGGUACUCGAGUGGCGAACGGGUGAGUAACACGUGGGUGAUCUGCCCUGCACUUCGGGAUAAGCUUGGGAAACUGGGUCUAAUACCGGAUAGGACUACGGACUGCAUGGUCUGUGGUGGAAAGCUUUUGCGGUGUGGGAUGGGCCCGCGGCCUAUCAGCUUGUUGGUGGGGUGAUGGCCUACCAAGGCGACGACGGGUAGCCGGCCUGAGAGGGUGUCCGGCCACACUGGGACUGAGAUACGGCCCAGACUCCUACGGGAGGCAGCAGUGGGGAAUAUUGCACAAUGGGCGCAAGCCUGAUGCAGCGACGCCGCGU
rnacentral:rRNA from 1 species